rnacentral:rRNA from 1 species
GGAUGCGAUCAUACCAGCACUAACACACCGGAUUCGCGAAUUUUAGCCAUUUUUCACCUCUUUUGAAACGAGUAGUACUAGGAUGGGUGACCCCCUGGGAAGUCCUCGUGUUGCAUCCC